UAAAGUUUUGGUCCUAAACUUACUAUUACUUUUUACCAAACUUACACAUGCAAGUAUCCGCACCACAGUGAGAAUGCCCAUGAAUAAACAUGGAGCUGGCAUCAGGCACGCUAUUUAGCAGCCCAUAACGCCUCGCUAUGCCACAUCCCCACGGAACUCAGCAGUGAUAAAUCUUAAGCAAUAAGCGCUCUCCUCCAGCUUGACUUAGUUAUGGUGAUUAAAGCCGGUAAACUUCGUGCCAGCCACCGCGGUUACACGACGGGCUUAAAAUAAUAGAAUUCGGCGUAAAACGUGGCUAGAGAUCUCACAUGAGACCGGAAAAAAGACAAAGAUGUAAAAUUCCAAAACUUUUUAAGAAGACCAAUAGGUCUCACAAAACUUGACCCACGAAAGCUAAGAAACAAACUAGGAUCAGAUACCCUACUAUGCUUAGCCAUAAACCUAGGCACAACAUAACAUGUAUGCCCGCCAGAGAACUACAAGUGAAAAACUUAAAACUCAAAGGACUUGACGGUUCCCCAUAUCAGCCUAGAGGAGCCUGUCCUAUAAUCGACGAUCCACGAUAAACCUCACCCUCCCUUGCUUAACCCCAGCCUAUAUACCGCCGUCGCCAGCUCACCUCAUGAGAGAUGUAAAUUGGGCUAAAAGGUCCUACCACAAAAACGUCAGGUCAACGUGUAGCUUAUGGGGGGGGAAGAGAUGGGCUACAUUCUCUAAAUUAGAGAAUUACACAAGGAAAUAUGAAAUUAAAACCAGUAAGGUGGAUUUAGAAGUAAAUUGAACAAGAAAGUUCAGUUGAAUCUUGCUCUGGGGAGUGUACACACCGCCCGUCACCCUCAUCUCAAUUAACAACUUAUUUAAAUAAAACAAUAAAUAAUACCUAGAUGAGGCAAGUCGUAACAUGGUAAGCGUACUGGAAGGUGCGCUUGGCAAA